GCGAGAGUGGCGGAAUUGGUAGACGCACUGGACUUAGGAUCCAGCUCCGGCGACGGAAUGGGAGUUCGAUUCUCCCCUCUCGCA
rfam:Candidatus Magnetoglobus multicellularis str. Araruama Cont56, whole genome shotgun sequence.